rnacentral:lncRNA from 1 species
CGCCACACCCCACCACGCCCCACACAGCUUCACACCCUGUGUCUCAGCUCCUGAAAGUCAAUGACAUCCUGCCCCCUGUGCCAGGCCCAACAGGGCACAGAAAUGUGUCUUUGAGAGUUUGGUGCCUCAGGGGAAGUUACAUGUUCUCAUUCCAUUGUCAUCACCAGAGGAGACCAGAACCCCAAAGAGAGUGGCUACAGCAUCCCCAGAAACUUCUAGAAAGCUUUAGCAAGGAUCCCAAGGCUUCCACGUUCAACACUUAUGGAGGUAGGGAGAGGGUCCUAACCCAGAAGUUGGGCUUUCAAUUUCAAUCUCUUUCUCCUCAAAGCACUCAAAGCACCAGAAACUGCAUCUAGUAGGUUCUCAAACACACCCCAGCCCCAUCUCUCCUUACAGGCCCCCAAGCGUCAAGGACAGAUAUGCAGGAUUCCACAGAAUGGAUCAGAUGCAGAUGCUCAGACAUAAGGAACUGAAGAUAGGGAUGAGCCUGCGCAGGGUCUGGUCCAUCACAGGAGCGUCCGAUCAGACCCAACCUCUCUGUAGUCCCUAAGUGGGUGCCUGACAGCAGUCCCGCAGCUCCUCGCCUCGGCCUCCUCAAUGGAGCUUUUAAAAAGCUGGCCACCAUCCUCGGAGGGUCAACCACUUCUCUGGGGACACUUUGUCCCCGCCCUGUCCAGGCUCCCACAGAGCCUCAGGCCUGUGUCCCAGCCCUGCCACCCUCCUGGGACCCCUAUCUUCCUCCCUCUGCGUCGCCUCGUCAGCUGGAGUCCAGCUGGCAAGCAGGCUGUGCUGUGGGUCUGGCCAAGGCUUGAAGGAGGAGGAAUUUCUUCUCCACAUCCCGCUCUUGUUCACACAGCCCAGAGACCUGGAUUCAGAAUGCAGGCCAGGGAGGAGAUUCCAGAGUCCGGAUCCAGGUGGAAUGGAGGCCACAUUCACAGAGCGGGGGGUGGAGGGGGGCUGCUCUCCUCCCCCCCCCCCCCCCCCCCCCCCCCCCCCCCCCCACGUAGAAGCAAGAAAAGAACGGAAAACUUCCCAGAGGCAUCCAGCAAAGGUGUCAAGGAAACAAGAGAGCAGGUCACAGCCACCAGCUCCCUGGGGACAGGCUCCGAACACAGGUCUCUGACCCGUGAGAGGCAGGAAGUUCCUCCUGAUACCUAACCUCCAUCCCCACUGGCAAAUUCCAGACCGUUUUCCUCUUGGACUGCCCUGCCUGGGGAAGAACAGCUGGGUCCCUCUCUGCACAAUAAAUGCCUUCAGACCCUGGCGACUCA